rnacentral:misc_RNA from 1 species
AAACGUUCUGUCUUUUUCUUUUCCUUGUGAUUUUCAUUAUGACAUAUAUAUAUAUAUCCUAAAUCGCGAUUUCAAGACAUGAAAAACGCAUGCUGAAUUUCUUUAAUUAGCCAGGUAGAACGGAAGAUAUAUUAUAACUGCCUUGUUUUCUGACUGAGUUUAUUUUAAAAAUUCAAACAUUAUAAUUUUUUUCAGCCUGAUGCUGGUCGACAAAAGAAUCCUUUGUGCAAAUUACCGACAUCUAGUUUUACUUAUGGCAGCCCCAGCGGUAUUCCAGCUGGAAGUGUCAAAGAAGUGAAACUGAAGACAUGAAAGCACUAAUGUGUCAUGGUUACAGAGAAAGACUUCUUCAGAAAAUGAAAGCAGAAGAAGCGGCAAGAAGACAAAAAAUCAUCAAGAAAGAAGAAAGAUUAGCAAGUAGAAGACUUGUA